rnacentral:rRNA from 1 species
AGAGAGAGACAUGCGCGCAUAUCAAUAAGCGGAGGAAAAGAAACUAACUAGGAUUCCCUUAGUAACGGCGAGUGAAGCGGGAAGAGCUCAAAUUUGAAAUCUUCAAGGUUUUACCUUGACGAAUUGUAGUUUAAAGAAGUGUUUUCUGCUGGAGUUUUGGUAAAAGUUCUUUGGAAUAGGACAUCAUAGAGGGUGAGAAUCCCGUAUUUGACCAUUAUGUUCCAGCUUUGUGAUACACUUUCAAAGAGUCGGAUUGUUUGGGAAUGCAGUCCAAAAUGGGUGGUAAAUUUCAUCUAAAGCUAAAUAUUGGCGAGAGACCGAUAGCGAACAAGUACCGUGAGGGAAAGAUGAAAAGAACUUUGAAAAGAGAGUUAAACAGUACGUGAAAUUGUCAAAAGGGAAGCGUUUGACACCAGUGUUGUUUUCUCGAAAAUCAAUUAAAAAUGGCUCGAUUUUGUAUUGUUGAGACCUUAAAAGCUCACUGUACAUUUUUCGUGUCUUUUUUAAUGCACUUUUCGUUUAACAAGUCAACAUCAGUUUCUUUUGUUGUAAAAGGGUCAUUGGAAGGUGGCUUUCUUUUCGGAGAAAGUGUUUAUAGCCUUUGGCCUCUGCAAUCGGAGAGACUGAGGUCUGCAGCGUAGACUCUUCGGGGUUAGAUACAUUUGUGCUAAGUUAUAGCUUUUUAUAGACAACUUGUUGACUAUAAUUAGUCUUGUAGCUUACUCGCUUAUGCUAUUUUACCUACGCUUAGGAUGUUGAAGAUGUAGCACAUCAU